UGCUGGUGGAGGAGAGGGGCCCUGGGAGGUCGGUGCCCGACCUUCGCUAGGGAGCCCGGAACAGUCCACUCUCCAUCCUGCGGGAAAUCCUUUCUUCUAAGGGCCCUGUAGGCUUUCGUGGUGCAGAGACAAAGGAAACUACCUCCUCAGACCUCCGAGAAAGCCUUAGGUGUGGCUGAGUUAUAGAGGAAGACAAUGUGAAGUAAGGUAGCUCUUCCUCCUUUUGCUUAGGCUGCCUCAAAAGACUCAAGGCAUGCCCCAGAAAUGGGUUUCGAAUCGCCUGCUUUACAGCCACACCCAGACAUCCUGCGGCAGCUCAGCUCAGCACAUUCAGAACCAGAUUUGUGAUUGUCUCCCUCCAGCCUGCUCCCGUUUCUGUUACGGUUAUCAUGAUCUGUCUCUGUGAACCUUCAAGUAGAUGACUUGGCAGGUUAGAGCACCGGCCGCUGACCUUGUCCUGCUUGGCUGAGACUUGACCCGACUAAGGACAUGGAAGGAACGAAGAGAAAACAAGCAAGCGACAGAAGGGCUGGGAUCAGGUGGGCUGUGCACACUGUGAUGGAGCUGCGAUGGCUGUAAAUACCAGGCUGAAGUAUCAUCAACCCUUUAUAAGCAAUUAUACUUGUACACACAGACAUACAUGCAUACAUACAUCUGUGCAUACAUACAUCUGUGCAUACAUACAUACGUGCACAGACCAUAGCAAUACACACAAUCAGUAAGUAAAUUUAAUUUUUCUUUAUCUUUGAGAAUUUCAUACAUGUCUACAAUGAAAUAUGAUUAUAUAUACUCCUCAUUUCCUCUAACUUCCUUCGUGUACCCCCUAACACGUCCCACAAAGAACCUCACGUCUCUUUUUAAAACAAUCAUUAAAUCCAGUUGUGCUGCCCAUAUAUACAUGGUGUAAGAGGAGCUACUGGAACAUGGGAAUCACUGGCCACACCCCCUACAAAGAAUAAAUCUUUCCCCAAAACUA